GGGGUUGUAGCUCAGUGGUAGAGCGCUUGCCUCGCAUGCAUGAGGCACUGGGUUUGAUUCUCAGCACUGCA
rnacentral:tRNA from 1 species